GCGCGUCCUGUAUCUAUGGAGACGGCAAUAUGGAGGCGAUCUUACAUUUCUUUGAUUUCAUCUGAACGUGCAGUUCACAAUUGGAGAGGCAAGAGUGUUCAGAAGAAACAAGCAGAGAGUAAAAGCCAGAUAAAGCUCCAUACUCAGAGUGCUCCCUUUGGACUGUGUCCCAAGGGCCUGAUGCUCACCCAGGCUCCAAGCUCCAUCGUGAGGUCCAGGAACAGCAGGAACCACACCAUGAACUCUGGUGGAUCCUGCCUGAGUGCCAGCACAGUGGCCAUCCCUGCCAUCAACGACAGCAGUGCAGCCAUGAGUGCCUGCAGCACCAUCAGCGCCCAGCCUGCAAGCUCCAUGGACACUCAGAUGCACUCCCCAAAGAAGCAGGAGAGAGUGAACAAGAGGGUCAUCUGGGGCAUUGAGGUGGCUGAGGAGCUGCAUUGGAAAGGCUGGGAGCUAGGAAAGGAGACCACAAGGAAUCUGGUUCUGAAAAAUCGAUCCUUGAAACUCCAGAAGAUGAAGUACAGGCCCCCCAAGACCAAGUUCUUCUUCACGGUCAUCCCUCAGCCCAUCUUCCUGAGCCCAGGCAUAACCCUCACGCUCCCCAUCGUCUUCCGGCCUCUGGAGGCGGGACCUGCCCACCUUCUUCACCUGGGAGUUCUCCAGCCCAUUCCAGAUGCUGCCCGCCACGGGGCUCCUGGAGCCAGGCCAGGCCUCUCAGAUCAAGGUGACCUUUCAGCCCCUUACAGCCGUCAUCUACGAGGUGCAGGCCACGUGCUGGUACGGGGCAGGCAGCCGGCAGAGGAGCAGCAUCCAGCUGCAGGCUGUGGCCAAGUGCGCCCAGCUGCUGGUGAGCAUAAAGCACAAGUGCCCGGAGGACCAGGAUGCCGAGGGCUUCCAGAAGCUGUUGUACUUUGGCUCUGUUGCUGUGGGCUGCACCUUGGAGAGGCAGAUCAGGCUACACAACCCGUCGGCGGUAAAUGCCCCCUUCAGGAUUGAAAUUUCCUCAGAUGAACUGGCCGAAGACCAGGCCUUCUCAUGCCCCACGGCCCAUGGCAUCGUGCUUCCGGGAGAGAAGAAAUGUGUGUCAGUGUUCUUCCACCCCAAGACUCUGGACACCAGAACUGUGGACUACUGCUCCAUCAUGCCUUCUGGCUGUGCCUCCAAGACCCUGCUUAAAGUCGUUGGUUUCUGUAGAGGUACUGGUGACCCCAGGGGCCUCCCCUGGGGACAGGAGCAGCCCCUGCUGAGGAUUCUGAAGAGCUCCUUCCCUGCUCCUAGGAGGCGGGGCCACCUUGCCUCAGCCUGGGUGUCUGCUGCCCCCUGGUGGCCCUAUGGGGAAUCAUCUGUGACUACCUGGAGAUCCCAGUCCCACCGGCAUCCAGUGAUGCUGGAGUUCUGCUCAGGCUGCCAGGGCUCUGGGCCUGUAGCCUGGCCCUGAGAGUACCACCUCCCUUCAGUGGGACUUUGUCUAAGACAUCCUUGGGGAAGCUGAUACCCCAUAUCCUGUGUCCAGGCCCUGCCGUGUCCCUGCAGCACUACUGUGUCAACUUUAGCUGGGUCAACCUUGGGGAGCGCUCCGAGCAGCCCCUGUGGAUUGAGAACCAAUCAGACUGCACGGCCCACUUCCAGUUUGCCAUCGACUGCUUGGAGAGUGUCUUUAGCAUCAGGCCUGCCUUUGGGACCCUGGUGGGCAAGGCCCGUAUGACCCUCCACUGUGCCUUCCAGCCCACUCACCCCAUCAUCUGCUUUCGGCGUGUGGCCUGUCUUAUCCACCACCAGGACCCGCUGUUCCUGGACCUGAUGGGGACCUGCCACUCGGACAGCACCAAGCCAGCCAUCCUGAAGCCUCAGCACCUCACCUGGUACCGCACACACCUGGCCCGGGGCCUGACGCUCUACCCCCCUGACAUCCUGGAUGCCAUGCUGAAGGAGAAGAAGCUGGCACAGGACCAGAACGGGGCUCUCAUGAUUCCCAUCCAGGAUCUGGAGGACAUGCCAGCCCCGCAGUACCCUUAUAUCCCUCCCAUGACCGAGUUCUUCUUCGACGGCACCAGCGACAUAACCAUCUUCCCCCCGCCCGUCAGUAUAGAGCCUGUCGAGGUAGACUUCGGUGCCUGCCCAGGGCCUGAGGCCCCCAACCCUGUACCCCUGUGCCUGAUGAACCACACCAAGGGCAAGAUCAUGGUGGUCUGGACGCGAAGGUCUGACUGCCCCUUCUGGGUGACUCCAGAGAGCUGCGACGUGCCCCCACUCAAGUCCAUGGCCAUGCGCCUGCACUUCCAGCCGCCUCACCCCAACUGCCUUUACGCGGUGGAGCUCGAAGCCUUCGCCAUCUAUAAGGUGUGUGCACGCAAUGAGAGGGAGGAAUGCGGGGUCUCUGCUAGGAGCCUGAGUGGCUGGGUGGGGUGGCAGGAAGUGACCGAGGGCAGCUUCAGGCUCCAUCCUCUGCGUGCCAGGCUUUCUCUUGGCUGGACAGUGACCCCUAUGGGUUUGUCUCCUCCAAAGCUCCUGGCCUAGCUCGGCCCAUCUGAUUUUCUCAUUCUUAUGUAAGUCUCCCCUCCCCUCUAAGGGAGAACUCAGCUGAGAUCAAGCUGUUUGGGAAAAUUGGGUGCACAGGGAGAUUCUCCCUGGGGCUCCUGGCUAGGAGGCCUCCUAGCUUCUCUACUAGUCCUUGAAUUAAGAAGUGGUCACUCUAAAGGAGCUUUGAGCGGGCAGGAAGCUGGGCCUAGAGACAAAGUCAGCAGCACCAGAUAAUUGUGAUGGAAAGGGCUUCUGACUCAGCUUCCCUGGGUCGGGAACUCCGAGUGCCGGCUGUCCCCAGCCCUGCUGUUCUGGCCCCAGAUGCAUGGUGCCCCCUCCUCAUCCUUUAGUCCUGCCCAUCCCUUCCUUCUUGACUCUGCCCACCCCACUGCCCUUGCCCAGAGGCCAAGGUCUUGGGACCCAGAGAAAAGUAGGGCUGUGCGGUCAAGAUCAGGGUCACUUACCAGCUAUGUGACCUUGGGCAAGUUCCUUAAUGUCUCUGAGUCCUGAUCUUUUCAUCUGUAAACUUGGGACCACGUCCGAUCUUUUGAGGAGGCUUUCCAAAGUGGAGGCUUUAGUUGCCCCCGUCCUAAUGCCUUGGCAGUGGGGUGAUGUCGAGGUUUGUAGGAAUAAGGUUGUAGAUGCCUGGCUCUGCUGAGGCUGAGCCUGUCAGAUAUUUAGGUUACAGGCUGUAGACCUGCACAGUCCAGUACAGCCACUGACAGCCACACGUGGCUACUGAGCUUUUAAUAUGUGGCUGGUCCCAAUUGAGACGUGCCGUGAGUGUAAAAUGCACCCUGGAUUUCAAAGACUUAGUAUGAAAAGAAUGUAAAAUAUCUCGUUACUAAUUUUAUAUUGGUUAUAUGUUAAAGUGAUAAGAUUUUAGAUCUAUUGGGUUAAAUAAAAUAUACUAUUAACAUUAA
rnacentral:sRNA from 1 species